AUCAUCCUGGAUGACACUCAGAUCUGGUGAUGGGGCUUUCUCUUCCUCCGCUGAGGCCUGGUGAUGAUGACCGCUGCAGGGGGUCUGGCUGUGGCCCUGUAAGACUUUUAAAGGGAUCAUACUCCAGAUCAGAGUGAAGGCAUGUCGCUGGGGAAAGUUUCCACUGCUGCCUGUAUGUGCUGUAAGGCAGGUAUCCAGGUUGUAGCCAUAUUGGUCUAGAGGCAAAUGGAAUUCCUUUUUAUUCUAGACCAUUAUGACUACAACCUGGAUACCUGACACAUGGAAGAUACCAAAUUUUAGCCUCUUUUUUAAAAUGAACAUUUCAUCAUUUUUCAAUAAGGAAGCAAAAUUUACCAUCUGAAACCUGAGACCCUGCUCCUGCCCUUGUUCAAGCUAAUUUGCACUCUAACAGAGCGCAGAGGUAGCUCUCCACAAAAGACAUGCCUGCCCAGAAGAACAUUCCAUCUUUCCAGUCUUCUGUGAAAUAUGAAACAUCGUAACCAGAAGGAAAUAUGAUUCUACAUCCUGCUUGCUACCAGACAACUUUGAGAAUGGACAUCCCUGAGUAAAGCAUUUGAUAUGGAACUUCAACAAAUUAAAGAAGCCAUUAGGAAGGAACAUUACAAGCUCCGGUGAGUUAAAAAUGACCUGCUUUCAAAAAAGAAAAUCAACAAUAAAGUGCAUCACCCACUGAGUCAUGUCAACCAACUACAGCAGGGGGAAGAAACCUGGGAAGUUAAUUUAUGAAACUCUGAUCUCAACAUCUUUCAUAGCAAAAGUUCAAAACAGCUGUCUUACUGCAUAGCAAAUCCACAGGAUCAAAAACAAUGAUGAGGUUAACUAUUCAUCUAAGUAUGGAGCUCUAAACCUACUUAACUGUAUUAAUUAUGACACAAAACAGAUGUUCACUACAUACCUGCACAUAUUGCAACUCCUAGGUCUCCUGAGAUAUUGGCUCCUGCAAGAAUGCCAGUAGCAGCUGGGAAAAAAAUGGCAAAGACCGAGAAAAAUCCUUCUCCAUCUCUGAAGCCUGGUCCAAAGUUUUCUGCAAAUAUUGAAGCUGCAAA